AAGGUCUUACGGGUGUGGAACGACAUGAGAGUGAGUAAUUAAUGACAGAAUUUUCAUUUUUGGGUGAACUACUCCUUUAAGACUUUAAAACGCGCGCUGCGGUUUUGACGACAGAACGCUAAUUAAAGGGAUAGUUUACCCAAAAAUUAAAACUCAUGUCAUCAUUUACUCACCCUAAUGUUGUUCUAAACCUGUUUGACUUCCAUAUGAUGGAAAAAAAUACUAUGGAAGUUAUCGGGGCCUAUUAACUGUUUGGUUACCGACAUUCUUCAAAAUAUCUUCUCAGAAGAAAGACAUUCAUACAAGUUUGGAACAACUUGAGGGUGAGUAAAUGAUGAACUGUCCCUUUAAGCGCGCGCUUUAACAGAACGACCGUUAACGGCCGUUAUUAGUGUGAACGGAUUUUAAAUUCUGUCUGUUGUCUUCAUUGAAUCUACCUCACAUUUCUGGGUGAGGGAUUAAAAUGUUGGUUUGAGAGGUGCUGAGCUGAGUGGACUGCUUUGGCCUGACUACAGCAGAGGUUGAGGUUUGAGUCCAGCUGACGGAGCUGUUGAAGGAAUCCUGCGUUGGGUAGAAUGUUCCGGUGGGCGCAAACCGCAUUAAUGGCUUCUGCGAUUGUCUGACCUCGUCCAGAUGGCCGCUGGUUCCGGGUUUGACCCACAGCAGUCUCUGGAGCUCAGAGGCUGGAGGCGUCUCGUACCUGCCGUCCCCGUCACGUGGCAUAUCGGCCCGCCGCUGUACACCUGUCCUGCUGCUGGAUAGACAUGAGAAACAUAAAGAACUGAACAGAUCUUGUUCUUUUCGGUCACCCAAAAAUUAUUUACAAAAAGGCAAAACAAACAGCAUAACAGUAGUGCAUGCGACUCUAGUCCUUUAUUGAAGAAUAGGUGAAAUUAAAGUUAUUAUUCACUGAAAACAACAGCUCUCCAAGUGUUUUGACUCCGUCAUCGACCCCAAGCACCUUUGUUUCUCAUGUAUCUUGUCACCAAUCACAACAUUAGUUUGAUAUUCACACUUUAAUUAAAUGGGAAACACCAGCUCAGACAUCCUGCAAAACUCCAAUUUAUUGAAAAAAAAGGAAGUCACAUGGUCACAUAAACAACAUGAAGGCUGCUGUAAACACUCUUUCUUCAGGUUCCUGAUCCAGAUGCACCAGGGAGCAGAUGAAACCAUAUAAGAUCAUCAGAUGAAGAUCAUCCUCUAUAAUAUCACACUGAUUAUAAUGAAUACAGAGGAAUGAUUCUGCUUAUUUUCACACACUUCAGUCGCCCUCAUCUGUGUCCGAGUAACGGCGUCUUAAAUUAGACAACCUCAUUCCCACAGCGGCGAGAUAAAAAUACAUCCUCGUCAUCUGUCAACACUUCACUCUCAACACAAGUCACUGUCUUCUGCUCCAGAACGGUCACACCACCGGCGACUCAUAACCCCUCUGUUCCACUUCCGACAUCCUCAAAAAAUAUGUUCACAUAUUUUACCAGUCCACCAACAUCAUGCAUGUACGUCAAACACAUGCACAUUUUAAAAGGUCUAAACAUUCACAUCAUAACUGAAGCAGAUUUAGAUGAGAUAUGACAUCAUGUUUUACCCUCUCAGUGCAUGCAAUCAUGUGACCAUAUAUAGACUGCAUGCGUGCAUGUGAAUGAACCGAUGUUAUUCUCUCUUCAACCCAAACCACUUCUCAGAUGUUUCUCCUCAGAAAAUGAGGCACACAAAAAUAUUGUUACGUCUGAAUGUUCUCUGAACGAUCAAAAUGUUUUUUCGGUUAUGCAAAUGUUGGGGGAACAUUCCAUUUCAUCAUUCUUCAAACAUUAUGCGAACGUUACUGUUGAAUGUUCUCUGAACGUUCUUCUGAAACUAGUAACAUUCAAAAAAAUGUUACACAAACGUUUAACUGAAACGUUCCAUGAACGAUGUAUAAAUAAUGUUUUUGUGCUAAUGUUUUGAGAACAUUAUUACGUUAUUAUUGAACAUUUGUACAUAACUUUGAGAGAACUUCACUAGAACGUUCCCUAGAGCUUCAGAAGAGCCAAAUAUGAUCUCAAACAUUUCUCAUCAAAUGAUCUGAGCUGCUGUCUGGAUUCAUUUUAUCCCCUAUAACUGUAUACUGACAACUGUUGACUGAUUGGGUUAGUUUUAGGAGAAACAUCUGAGACAAAGUUAAACAUAUCCAAGGAUUUUUUGUCUUUGAAGACUCGUUCAUCUCCAAACUCUAAUUGUUUUAUGACUCUGAUUCUCAUUCCUUUCUUCAAAUGUCUCAUCUGACCUCCAACUAACUCCAUGAAUGUUUCCAUCAACCCACGACUUUAUAUGUCCUCAUUUCGUCUAGAUAACCAAUGAACAUUUCAGUGCAUACAUUAAUCAUUUUUGUCAUUUUUUCUGUAUUUUGACAGAAUCUGAGUGGAACAUUUUCAGAUUCAUUGAACAACUCUAUUAAUAAAUGCACUUUUUUUUUUUCAUAGUCCUCAUUUUGUCUUUUCUUUCCAAGCAAACAUUAACUUUUAUUAUUUUAUUAAUGCAUGUUCUUAUUGUGAAUGAUUUAUCAUCAGUGAUGUUAUUCCAAACA